rnacentral:rRNA from 1 species
CCCUUCGGGGGCAGAGUGACAGGUGGUGCAUGGUUGUCGUCAGCUUGUGACGUGAGAUGUUGGGUUAAGUCCCGCAACGAGCGCAACCCUUGAUCUUAGUUGCCAGCAUUCAGUUGGGCACUCUAAGGUGACUGCCGGUGACAAACCGGAGGAAGGUGGGGAUGACGUCAAAUCAUCAUGCCCCUUAUGACCUGGGCUACACACGUGCUACAAUGGACAGAACAAAGGGCAGCGAAACCGCGAGGUUAAGCCAAUCCCACAAAUCUGUUCUCAGUUCGGAUCGCAGUCUGCAACUCGACUGCGUGAAGCUGGAAUCGCUAGUAAUCGCGGAUCAGCAUGCCGCGGUGAAUACGUUCCCGGGUCUUGUACACACCGA